rnacentral:ncRNA from 1 species
AUCUUCAGGGCAGGGUGAUCGCCACGGCGAAACUCCCGACCGGCGGUAAAGUCCGCGACCCCGAAAGGGCUGAUUCGGUGCGAUUCCGAAACCGACAGUACAGUCUGGAUGAAAGAAGG